AAACAGCCCAUCUAUCUACCUACCUAGUUACGUUACGUUGGCUGACAAUUUGUGUACAGUGACCUAAUACAUCGAACUUGCCAGGCAGUAUAUUAACUAUCUGCUGUCUAACUAUCCAACAUUUUUUGGCUUGAUUAUUCACAUCAUUCUUAGCUAAGUGGUAUAGUCGUUGUGCGUUUCAAUAGACUGUUAAUUCUGGCUAUCUACUCCGAUUUCAGAGCGCUCUCAGCAGAAUAACUGAUGAAUUUACAAACACUCAGUUGUUGACAGCAACACAGUUACAGUCAUCUAUGCUCUGGAUGACACGAAAACAGUCUAAUCAGCUCUGCAAGGGGGAGUAAAAUGGUCAGAGCGAGAACACGUAGCUAGCCAACGUUAGCCAGUUAGCUUGGGUGCUUGACUGCCGUUGAACGAUCAGAUCAACCCUGUAAACACUCUGGAUUUAUGAAUGCCCAGAGCACACUCUGGCACCCCAGAUUGAAUUUACAAACACACCCGAAAUCGUAAAAUGUUUAGCUAGUAAUUUGUCAUGCUAACCAGCUAGCAAUAGGUUGCAUAGCAACGUUAUCCGCUUCCGGUAGACAGGCGAUGCGCAAGUACUCUCAACUGAAACGAUACCGUUUGUUUACAUUAUACUAAAAUGAACAAAUAGUAUGUGGUAUACAGUAUGUUAGUAUGGGUAUUCGAACACAACUUAUUAUAAUUUUAGCUAGCAACCAAGAAAUAGCGUAGCGAUGUUUGAACAUUCUGUGAAGUUCACAUUCCAGGGCGAAUGGUGGCGAUAAAGCCUGACUAGUUGGUUUGGCCGUGCCUAAAAAAAUAUAUCAAAGAAGAAAAAAAAACAAUAUUGUGGUUUCCGGGACGUGACGAUCAUGGUUUCAGCGUACUUGCGUCCAUCCGGUUAUCGGUGUCCUGUGCGAAUGCUGGAGAGCUAUGGCGGCGUGCCGGGGAUCCUCGUCGAAAUGGUUUUUUACCCGGGAGCAGCUUGAAGCCACGCCGUCCCGCCGUACGGGAGUGGAGCCGGAUAGAGAGCUUUCUUACCGACAGCAGGCGGCAAACCUCAUUCAAGAUAUGGGCCAGAGACUCAACGUCUCACAACUUACUAUAAAUACAGCAAUUGUUUACAUGCAUAGAUUUUAUAUGUACCACUCUUUCACCAAAUUCCACAGAAAUAUCAUUUCUCCAACCACAUUAUUCCUAGCUGCAAAAGUUGAAGAGCAACCUCGGAAACUGGAGCAUGUCAUUAAGGUUUCACAUGCUUGUCUAAACCCUCAAGAGGCCCCGCUUGAUACGAAGAGUAAUGCAUACCUCCAGCAAGCUCAAGAGCUGGUGAUACUUGAAACCAUAGUACUGCAGACUUUAGGAUUUGAAAUAACUAUUGAACAUCCACACACUGAUGUGGUGAAAUGUUCCCAGCUAGUGAGAGCAAGCAAGGAUCUGGCACAGACUUCCUAUUUCAUGGCUACCAACAGGUUGUUAUCCUGACACCCCCCCCUGCCUUUUUGUUGCACUGUGACUACUGCACACUAUAGCUUCCUGUAAGCAGGGUACCCUUUCUGUGUCCAACGGCCCUCUAUGCGCCGAUGGCUUCUGGGACGCUAGCCCCCUCCACUGGGUGGGGUGGUUGGCGGUACCGGCCCUGGUCGCAGUGCGGUGUAUUGUACAAGGGACCAGAGUUGGCACAGUGGGGUUGAAUGCCCAAUGUGAAGUGUAGUCGUGGGCUUGAACCUCACGGUUGCUCGGUUGCAAAAGCGCAUAUGUCUAAAAAAAGAGACUUUGGUAGCCUGAAUAGCAGCUAAAGUUUACACAGACGUAAACAUAACUAGACGUCGUCCUGCCUCCACCUCACCACGUUCUGCCUGCAGCACAAGCCCACAGUCAUCGCCUGCGUCUGCAUCCACCUGGCCUGUAAAUGGUCCAACUGGGAGAUCCCCGUCUCCACUGAUGGGAAACACUGGUGGGAGUACGUGGACAACUCUGUCACGCUGGAGCUUCUCGAUGAACUGACACACGACUUCCUUCAGAUUCUGGAGAAGACGCCGAGCAGGUUGAAGAGGAUACGGAACUGGAGGGCCACACAAGCUGCCAAGAAGCCCAAGGGAGAUGGCUCUCAGGCGAACGACCCCUACCCAGGACCCUCCCUGGUCCACGAACAUUCCCUGGGAGACGGCAUCCCUGGGGUCUCCAACCCAGCCUUCUCCAAAGCAGCCUCCUCGUUCCCUGUCCCACUGCCGGGUCACGCCAGUGGACCCCUCUCCCUGGACUCCAUCGCCUCCAUGCAGGGCAGCUCCUACACCUUCACCGCCCCCAGCGACUGGCCCCAGGACAUGGGGGGUCGCUCGGAGGGAGGAGGCUAUUCCCUCAAAACAGAUACACUAGGCCUCCAGCAGGGGGCUUCACUGUCUCUGCAGCACGGCUCUCUGAACCCACACAGACCAGAUAAGACCAUGGAGUUCAACCCUAUUAAACAUGAACACAAGGCUGUAGCAGGGGGGGGGAAGCAGCAGCAACAGCCCCCGCCUGCCCAGAAAAUGUCCCUGGACAAGUACAGAGAGAAGCACGCUGCCGAGCUGGCGGUGCAGCAGAAACGCAAACAGACAGAGCAGCAGGCUAUGGAGCCUGAGGGCAGGGAUGCCUAUAUAUCCUCUGUCCAGUCAGACCACAGGAAACACAUGCAGCCCCACUCUAACCCAGGGAGCAGCAGCAGCAGCGGCACCACUUCAUCUCCUCUUAAAAUGAAGCUGGCCGUUUUAGGCCAAGACAGGCUCCCCUCUGACAAACGGGACAAGGGGGGCUCACUCAAACUCCGCCUCCCAGUUCCUUCUCAGGGGGGCGUGGCCAGCAAAGAGGAGCUGAAGAUGAAAAUCAAGGUGUCCUCUGAGCGCCACAGCUCUUCUGAUGAGGGUGGGCCCAAAAGCAAACAUUCCAGCCCGCUGGUGAGCAAGGAGAAGCAUCGGGACCAGUCUGCCCACCGCCACCACAAGCAGCACGGACACUCUCAGCUCCACGCAGCACAGCACAGCGGCAAUGGCCGGGGGGGCCUUGAGGGGCCAGCAGGUGUCGGGCCGGCCCUCCUCCGGAGCCCCCUGGGGCUAGGGAGCGUUGAGGGGUUGGCGGGCCCGGCCCUUGCUUCUGUUUCCAGUUCCUCCCGCAAGAGGGUACACCCCAACGUUGCCGGCCACAACCACCACUCCUCCAAAACGAGCAAAAGCUCCAAGGGCAGCGCAGGUGGGCUACGGACAUCUCAGCACCCUAGUGAAACUGGACAAGAAGCCAAUGGAGAGCCGCGGCCCUGAGGUCGCCGGCUGGGGUACUGCCAGCACCAAACAGACACUUUUGACAUGCUCCCAUUUCCUGUUAAGUGCCCAAGGAAUAAACUCAUGAACCCUUUAUAGCAAGGCAAUGGAAGGUAAAGCAAAAAAUAUAUAAAGCAAAGUGUAGGACAAAAAUAUAUAAUUAUGCUUCCCGAUCAUCUGAUCUCUUGGAGGUGCUGGUAUAGUACUGCCUGUUUCUGUAUCUGUAGCUGCUGCUUGGUCCUUAGUCCAUAUUCUCUGGAUGGGUCUUGAAAUGUGGACGUGAGUUAGUUGGUCAUCCUAGUUUCAAUGUUGAAAAAAGGUAUACUGAAAAGGCAUGAAAGAUGCAAUUUAUUUUCUUUUAAAUAAUUACAUUUCCACAACUAAUCCAGUGAGAAAACAAGGCAAGCGGUCCUCUUGUGACUGGAGGGCUUGUCAGUCGGGAGUAGAGAAGGAAGGCUGGGCACGCCAAACAUGGCCGCCAAUGGAAGCUGGAUAUAUAUAUAUUUUUUUUGAACACGUUUUUUUUAGUACUCAAUACUGUAUCGAUGAUCCGCAUGUUUCUAUCAUCAAAGGGAUAAAGCAGAAUGCAGACUGCUGUUUACAGAAAGUGGAGAUAAAUGUACAUACAUUUUUGUAUGUUUAAAAAGCUAUACCAUAAAUACUCAGGUUUGGAGCUGCUUGUAAGUAUAAGAUAUAUAUAUAUAUUAUAUAUGAUGGAGAAAGAGUAUUGUAACUUGAUGUAGGAGUCCUGUCAUUGGUGAUUCUGACUGCAGCGUUCCACUGUUGUGCUUAGAGCCUGUACUACGCAUGGCUGCCGGUAGAGUGCACUCGACCUUCGACCUUUCCAUCCCUUUGUAGGGUCUGGAUUUCCUCCAGUGCAGACCCUACAAACCGUACCAACCACCUGGCAUGUUGUCAGAGGCCAUGCAAUUUGUACAACAAUUGGGGGGGGGGACCUCCAAGAUGACCUAAAGCUGGAUGCCAAAGGCUGUGCCUCGCAACAAAAACAAAGGACACGAGGACAGUAAUACUAGUGCUAUAGUUUACAUGCCUAACCUUUGCUGUGAAGUGCAUUUACAUAAAAUGGUUGCUUGGCUUGACCCUGUAGCCGAUAGAUGCAAAGCUGUAAAUCAGUAAUGGUAAAUAAUGUAGGAUUGUUAAUGUUCAGUGACGUGGCCUGGUUAUUGGGCUUAACGGUCCGUUUCCUACUGGAUAUGGCAGAUAUCGUUCUCAAUUGUGGACACAAACUAAGAACUGUUCUUUGACUGGUUAGUUCUUAUUUCAGUGUGCAGACAGUUGGUAUUGAGGCCAAGAUGCUAUGUUCCACCAGUACUUAUACUCUUGGGCACAGACGGUGGUUUUGAAAACAAGAAGGCAAGUGCAAAUCUUGACAACUAGUUUUUAUUAUUUUAUUUAAGUUCUACAAAUAAAUCCUAAGGUUGACACUACCUUAACUUGA